AUUGAACGCUGGCGGCAGGCCUAACACAUGCAAGUCGAGCGGAUGAAGGGAGCUUGCUCCUGGAUUCAGCGGCGGACGGGUGAGUAAUGCCUAAGAAUCUGCCUGGUAGUGGGGGAUAACGUCCGGAAACGGGCGCUAAUACCGCAUACGUCCUGAGGGAGAAAGUGGGGGAUCUUCGGACCUCACGCUAUCAGAUGAGCCUAGGUCGGAUUAGCUAGUUGGUGGGGUAAAGGCCUACCAAGGCGACGAUCCGUAACUGGUCUGAGAGGAUGAUCAGUCACACUGGAACUGAGACACGGUCCAGACUCCUACGGGAGGCAGCAGUGGGGAAUAUUGGACAAUGGGCGAAAGCCUGAUCCAGCCAUGCCGCGUGUGUGAAGAAGGUCUUCAGAUUGUAAAGCACUUUAAGUUGGGAGGAAGGGCAGUAAGUUAAUACCUUGCUGUUUUGACGUUACCAACAGAAUAAGCACCGGCUAACUUCGUG
rnacentral:rRNA from 1 species